AGUGAACGCUGGCGGUAGGCCUAACACAUGCAAGUCGAACGGCAGCACAGUAAGAGCUUGCUCUUACGGGUGGCGAGUGGCGGACGGGUGAGGAAUACAUCGGAAUCUACUUUUUCGUGGGGGAUAACGUAGGGAAACUUACGCUAAUACCGCAUACGACCUACGGGUGAAAGCAGGGGAUCUUCGGACCUUGCGCGAUUGAAUGAGCCGAUGUCGGAUUAGCUAGUUGGCGGGGUAAAGGCCCACCAAGGCGACGAUCCGUAGCUGGUCUGAGAGGAUGAUCAGCCACACUGGAACUGAGACACGGUCCAGACUCCUACGGGAGGCAGCAGUGGGGAAUAUUGGACAAUGGGCGCAAGCCUGAUCCAGCCAUACCGCGUGGGUGAAGAAGGCCUUCGGGUUGUAAAGCCCUUUUGUUGGGAAAGAAAAGCAGCAGGUUAAUACCCCGCUGUUCUGACGGUACCCAAAGAAUAAGCACUGGCUAACCUCGUG
rnacentral:rRNA from 1 species